CUUCAGUCAACGAUGAUGCUGAAGCAAGUGUUGAUACGAACUAUUCAGUCUUCAACUGAUAUCAGUUUUGUUCAUAUAGAGAUUUAUUCUGUAUUUUAUCGUAACUCUAAUAUAAUAGGGACAACUUGUAUGCACAAUACAAGAAGUGCAGUGGAGACCAAUUAAAGAGAACAAUCAACAGGACCAUUGGGAUCACGCGACGCCAGCUUUUCACCUAGGGUUCCCCUGAAAUCUUCCUGGGAAAAUGGGUCGAACUGCCACGGUUGCUGUAUCCACGCUGAAUCAAUGGGCGAUGGACUUUGAUGGGAACUCCAAGAGAAUCUUCCAGAGUAUCCAGGAGGCUAGGGAAGCUGGAGCUACCUACAGGAGUGGUCCAGAACUUGAGAUCUGUGGAUACAGCUGCGAGGAUCAUUUCUACGAGCCCGACACUCUACUCCACAGCUGGGAGGUACUUGCUGAACUCUUGCGCUCUAAUCUUUGCGAGAACAUCCUGGUGGACGUGGGGAUGCCGGUGAUGCACAAGAACGUUACGUACAAUUGUCGCGUGGCUUUUCUCAAUCACAAGAUUCUUCUUAUCAGGCCGAAGAUGCAGCUGUGCGACGACGGAAACUACCGGGAGAGCAGGUGGUUCUCACCCUGGACAAAGGAACGCACCGUCGAGGAUUACUUUUUGCCCAGGAUGAUCGGACAGAUAACAGGACAGAGCCUUGUACCUUUUGGAGACGCCGUCAUCUCCACCAGGGAUACUUGUAUUGGUUUUGAGAUCUGCGAGGAACUCUGGAAUCCGGCCAGCAAUCACAUCCCCAUGGCCUAUGAUGGGGUUGAAAUAAUUGCUAAUGGUAGCGGAUCUCAUUUUGAACUGCGCAAGGCGUACGUGACCUACGACCUCGUGAAAUCAGCCUCCUUCAAGGCGGGUGGCUGCUACAUGUUCAGCAACUUGCGUGGAUGCGAUGGCACCAGACUGUAUUUCAAUGGCGGUUCUUGCAUCGCAGUCAACGGGAAGAUUCUUAAUCGAGGUCAACAGUUCGCUCUAGAAGAUGUCGAGGUCACUUUUGCCACUUUCGACCUCGAGGAGAUACGCUGCUACAGGAAUAGCGUUAGGUCGAGGUCUCACACGGCCGCAAAGGCGCAGCCCUAUCCCCGUGUCAAGGUCGACUUUGCUCUGACCACCGAUAACCUUAUCUGGGAUCCGCCAGAUAGGUUCAUCGAAUGUGACAAUUGCUUCGCCGAUAAGAAAUAUCAUAGCGAUCAUCAGCACUGGGAAAAGAAGCUGUAUUGUCCACCUGAGGAAGAAAUAUCAUUGGCUCCGGCCUGCUGGCUCUGGGAUUACCUGAGGCGUUCUGGCCAGGGUGGUUUCUUUCUACCCCUAAGUGGAGGCAUUGACUCCUCCGCAACCGCCUGUCUCGUCUACUCCAUGUGCUGCUUGGUCAUCCGCGCCGUCGUUGCAGGGGACUGUCAAGUUCUUGCUGACCUUCGCAGGAUAAUCGGAGACCCCAAGUACGACCCAAAGUCUCCAGAGAAGCUGUGCAACAUUAUCCUCGUUACCUGCUACAUGGGUACGGAAAAUUCAUCGAUCGACACGAGGUCCAGGGCUGCUAACUUGGCAUCCGAAAUUGGUUCCUAUCAUCUUAGUAUCGGAAUUGAUACCGCAGUCACAGCCAUCCUAGGAAUAUUUCAGCAGGUAACCAAAUUCAGCCCGAAAUUUCGCGUCCAGGGUGGCUCGCCGCGUGAGAAUCUUGCGCUCCAGAAUAUUCAGGCACGACUCCGUAUGAUCAUCGCUUAUCUCUUUGCUCAAUUGAUGCUCUGGGUCAGGGGUCGACCUGGUGGCCUUUUGGUUCUUGGUAGUGGUAACGCCGACGAAUCACUUAGAGGAUACUUCACCAAGUAUGACUGUAGCAGCGCUGACAUUAACCCCAUUGGCGGAAUAUCAAAGGACGAUCUCAAGAAAUUUCUUGAAUUCUUUCGGCAAAGCUACGGGAUCACCGCCCUAAAUAGCAUCCUCGAGGCACAACCCACGGCGGAAUUGGAGCCGCUUCAUGAGGAUGGCGUCGUGGCGCAAUUGGAUGAGAUAGACAUGGGUAUGACGUACAAGGAAUUGGGAACUUUCGGCCGAUUGAGAAAGCAAAACUGUGCCGGUCCGUUUUCCAUGUUCUGCAAACUCGUUUACAUGUGGGAUAAUUGUACGCCAAAAGAGGUGGCUGACAAGGUAAAACAUUUUUAUCGGUGUUACGCGAUAAAUCGUCACAAGAUGACUGUACUCACACCUUCGUGUCACGCAGAGACUUACAGUCCGGAUGACAAUAGGUUUGAUCAUCGUCCAUUCCUUUACAACCAUACUUGGAAAUGGCAAUUUAAUGCUAUCGAUAAUCAGGUGAAACAAAUGAUUGAUGAAAAAUGGACGCGACAGCCUAGGAGAGUAACUGUGGCUCCAGAAUAUAAGCACGGGGGACCGAAACCGUUUAGUGAGUAAAAAAAAUAGAAACAAAAAACGUCCGUUUUUUGGAAACCCCGUAGUAGGUGGUAUUGCACGGCGCUCUGAUCUAUAGAUCUUUGGCGAUUCUUUGGUUUAUCCAGGAGUAGUAGUUUAAACGUAAUCGUUAAAACGUUAAACGUUAAAAAUGUUCAUUGAAUGUCGAACAAAGUGCCUCGUUGCCGUUAGCGCAAUUGAUGAUUAUAUUAUUUUUCUAAUAAACAACGCAAAAACUGUACUUCCACUGUUAUCACGCAAAUAAAAGACCCUCUAAAAA